rnacentral:rRNA from 1 species
AUUGAACGCUGGCGGCAGGCCUAACACAUGCAAGUCGAGCGAGCGGCGGACGGGUGAGUAAUGUAUGGGAAACUGCCUGAUGGCGGGGGAUAACUACUGGAAACGGUAGCUAAUACCGCAUACCAUCGGAUGUACCCAUAUGGGAUUAGCUUGUAGGUGGGGUAACGGCUCACCUAGGCGACGAUCCCUAGCUGGUCUGAGAGGAUGAACAGCCACACUGGGACGGAGACACGGUCCAGACUCCGACGGGAGGCAGCAGUGGGGAAUAUUGCACAAUGGGCGCAAGCCUGAUGCAGCCAUGCCGCGUGUAUGAAGAAGGCCUUCGGGUUGUAAAGUACUUUCAGUCGGGAGGCGUUACCCGCAGAAGAAGCACCGGCUAACUCCGUGCCAGCAGCCGCGGUAAUUC